UGUUGUCUGUUGUCAGUGAUGCUGACAAAGCUGUAAAAUGUCUGAAUGUCUGCAGAACUUUGCUCUAGUGUGAACUUUACAAGAGGAGACAGAAAGAGGCUGUUACUCUGAAGUUAAGACCUCAAGUGUGAUUUGCCACAGCAGAGCUGCCUGAGACUGUUGGAUUAAGUCUGAAGUCAGGAUCUUGAAGGUUCAGCAUGAUGAGCCGUCCGCAGAGCUUCAUAGAAGCAUCCUGGCAUGCGAUUGCAUUUGUCCCUAACCAUCAGGAACCCUCGUGUUAACUUUUAUCGAGUGAUAAAAGUUUAUCAUCGUCACUAGAUGAUUGGUUUUCCUGCUGCCUUUCUUCCCGUUUGGAGUACAAGUGAGCCGGUGUUUGGAGUCGCGUGUUGGAGUACCAGUGUGUGAGGAGAUCUUUCCUUUCCCAAACCAUCCUUGGACCCGUGGACCCCUGGAUUCUUCCCCCACUUGUACAUAGAUCGCACUUGGUGAUGUGUAAAUAAACUGUCAAAUUGAACUGUG